rnacentral:rRNA from 1 species
UACGGAGGGGGCUAGCGUUGUUCGGAAUUACUGGGCGUAAAGCGCGCGUAGGCGGACCUGCAAGUCGGGGGUGAAAGCCCGAGGCUCAACCUCGGAACUGCCUUCCGAUACUGCGGGUCUCGAGUCCGGGAGAGGUGAGUGGAAUUCCUAGUGUAGAGGUGAAAUUCGUAGAUAUUAGGAAGAACACCAGUGGCGAAGGCGGCUCACUGGCCCGGUACUGACGCUGAGGCGCGAAAGCUAGGGUAGCAAACGGG